UUCCGUCAUGCUUGCUACUACACAUGCAGUCGAACGCUGAAGCACCAGCUUGCUGGUGUGGAUGAGUGGCGAACGGGUGAGUAAUACGUGAGUAACCUGCCCUUGACUCUGGGAUAAGCCCGGGAAACUGGGUCUAAUACUGGAUGCUACAUGUCACCGCAUGGUGGUGUGUGGAAAGGGUUUACUGGUCUUGGAUGGGCUCACGGCCUAUCAGCUUGUUGGUGAGGUAAUGGCUCACCAAGGCGACGACGGGUAGCCGGCCUGAGAGGGUGACCGGCCACACUGGGACUGAGACACGGCCCAGACUCCUACGGGAGGCAGCAGUGGGGAAUAUUGCACAAUGGGCGAAAGCCUGAUGCAGCGACGCCGCGUGAGGGAUGACGGCCUUCGGGUUGUAAACCUCUUUCAGCAGGGAAGAAGCCACAAGUGACGGUACCUGCAGAAGAAGCGCCGGCUAACUACGUGCCAGCAGCCGCGGUAAUACGUAGGGCGCAAGCGUUGUCCGGAAUUAUUGGGCGUAAAGAGCUCGUAGGCGGUUUGUCGCGUCUGCUGUGAAAGCCCGGGGCUUAACCCCGGGUGUGCAGUGGGUACGGGCAGACUAGAGUGCAGUAGGGGAGACUGGAAUUCCUGGUGUAGCGGUGGAAUGCGCAGAUAUCAGGAGGAACACCGAUGGCGAAGGCAGGUCUCUGGGCUGUUACUGACGCUGAGGAGCGAAAGCAUGGGGAGCGAACAGGAUUAGAUACCCUGGUAGUCCAUGCCGUAAACGUUGGGCACUAGGUGUGGGGGACAUUCCACGUUUUCCGCGCCGUAGCUAACGCAUUAAGUGCCCCGCCUGGGGAGUACGGCCGCAAGGCUAAAACUCAAAGGGAAUUGACGGGGGCCCGCACAAGCGGCGGAGCAUGCGGAUUAAUUCGAUGCAACGCGAAGAACCUUACCAAGCUUGACAUAUACCGGAUCGUUCCAGAGAUGGGUCUUCCCCUUUGGGGUCGGUAUACAGGUGGUGCAUGGUGUCGUCGGCUCGUGUCGUGAGAUGUGGGUUAAGUCCCGCAA
rnacentral:rRNA from 1 species